rnacentral:rRNA from 1 species
CUAAGAUAGUAAGAGCAUACGGUGGAUGCCUUGGCGAUAUCUGCCGAUGAAGGACGCGACAAGCUGCGAAAAGCUGCGGAGAGGUGCAAAUGACCAUUGACCCGCAGAUCUCCGAAUGGAGCAAUCCGGCAGGGUUUAUCCCCUGUCACCCAUAUCUUCGAAUAUGGGAGGGAACCGGGCGAACUGAAACAUCUAAGUAGCCUGAGGAAGAGUAAUCAAACGAGAUACCCCAAGUAGCGGCGAGCGAACGGGGCCUAAGCCCAAACCGGUGAAGGAAACUUUGCCGGGGUUGAGGACUGCCAUACGAACUCAACCAUUAGCCGAAAUUCCUGGGAAGGAAUGCCGAAGAAUGUGAAAGCCAUGUAAGCGAAAAUGGAAAAGGGACAGGCAGCACCAGAGUACCGCGGGACACGAGAAACCCCGUGGGAAGCCGGGGGGACCACCCUCCAAGGCAAAACACAGAUAUCGACCGAUAGCGCAUAGUACCAUGAGGGAAAGGUGAAAAGCACCCCGGGAGGGGAAUGAAAUAGAACCUGAAACCGUAUGUUUACAAGCAGUCGAAGACCGCUUAAUAAUAAGGUCAACGGCGUGCCUAUUGAAGAAUGAACCGGCGAGUUAUGAGGUCCAGCAAGGUUAAGCAGGAAAUGCGGAGCCGAAGCGAAAGCGAGUCUUAAUAGGGCGACAAGUUGGAUUGCAUAGACCCGAAACCACAGUGAUCUACCCAUGUCCAGGCUGAAGCACAGGUAAAAAUGUGUGGAGGGCCGAACCUAUAUCCGUUGAAAAGGGUUAGGAUGAGGUGUGGGUAGGGGUGAAAUUCCAAUCGAACGUGGAGAUAGCUGGUUCUCCCCGAAAUAGCUUUAGGGCUAGCCUCGAGGUAGAGAUUGCAGGCGGUAGAGCACUGAUCAGGAGAGGGGCCUACCCGGCUACCAAACCCAGUCAAACUACGAAUGGCUGCAAUUAUACUCGGGAGUCAGACUACGACUUAUAAGGGCCGUGGUCAAAAGGGAAACAGCCCAGAUCAUCAGCUAAGGUCCCAAAUGCCGUGCUAAGUGGCGAAGGAUGUGGCGUUUCAUAAACAACCAGGAUGUUGGCUCAGAAGCAGCCACCAUUUAAAGAGUGCGUAAUAGCUCACUGGUCGAGAGACGCUGCGCCGAAAAUGUCCGGGGCUCAAGCACGGAACCGAAGCUAUGGCAUGAUAGCAAUAUCAUGGGUAGGGGAGCGUUCUUAACAGGAAGAAGCAUGACCGGAAGGACAUGUGGACCGUUAAGAAGUGAGAAUGCCGGUAUGAGUAUCGAAAAGAAAGGUGAGAAUCCUUUCCACCGAAAGCCCGAGGGUUCCUGAGCAACGAUCGUCGUCUCAGGGUAAGUCGGGACCUAAGCCGAGGCGGAGACGCAUAGGCGAUGGACAACAGGUUGAAAUUCCUGUACCGGAUACAAUCGUUUGAGCGAUGGAGCGACGCAGAAAGGCAUAUGAUCGCGCGACUGGAAGAGCGCGUCCAAGUGCGUAUGUUGAAUCGGAGGCAAAUCCCUGAUUCUGAAAGCAGAGACACGAUGGGGAGUUAUACGAAAGUAUGACGAACUCAUAGAUCCUACACUGCCAAGAAAAACUUCUAGUGAGAAAGUAUCCGCCCGUACCGUAAACCGACACAGGUAGGCGGGGAGAGAAUCCUAAGGUGCGCGGGAAAACCCUCGUUAAGGAACUCGGCAAAUUGCAUCCGUAACUUAGGGAGAAGGAUGACCUUAAGUAAGCGAAAGGGAGAAACCCCUGGAACAGAACAAGGUGGCAGAAAAGAGGCCCAAGCAACUGUUUACCAAAAACACAGGUGCCUGCGAAAGCGAAAGCUGAAGUAUAGGUGCUGACGCCUGCCCGGUGCUGGAAGGUUAAGGAGAGAUGUCAGAGCAAUCGAAGCAUUGAACUGAAGCCCCAGUGAACGGCGGCCGUAACUAUAACGGUCCUAAGGUAGCGAAAUUCCUUGUCGGGUAAGUUCCGACCCGCAUGAAAGGCGUAAUGAUUUGGGCACUGUCUCAACGAGGGGCCCGGUGAAAUUGAAAUACCUGUGAAGAUGCAGGUUACCCGCGACUGGACAGAAAGACCCCAUGGAGCUUCACUGCAGCUUGAGAUUGAAUCUCGGUGAUGCAUGCACAGGAUAGGUGGGAGACUUUGAAGUAUGGGCUUUGGCUUAUAC